rnacentral:rRNA from 1 species
UACGAAGGGGGCUAGCGUUGCUCGGAUUUACUGGGCGUAAAGGGCGCGUAGGCGGACAGUUAAGUUGGGGUGAAAGCCCGGGGCUCAACCUCGGAAUUGCCUUCAAUACUGGCUGUCUUGAGUGUGAGAGAGGUGUGUGGAACUCCGAGUGUAGAGGUGAAAUUCGUAGAUAUUCGGAAGAACACCAGUGGCGAAGGCGACACACUGGCUCACUACUGACGCUGAGGCGCGAAAGCGUGGGGAGCAAACAGG